GUCGAGCGGGCGUAGCAAUACGUCAGCGGCAGACGGGUGAGUAACGCGUGGGAACAUACCUUUUGGUUCGGAACAACACAGGGAAACUUGUGCUAAUACCGGAUAAGCCCUUACGGGGAAAGAUUUAUCGCCGAAAGAUUGGCCCGCGUCUGAUUAGCUAGUUGGUGAGGUAACGGCUCACCAAGGCGACGAUCAGUAGCUGGUCUGAGAGGAUGAUCAGCCACAUUGGGACUGAGACACGGCCCAAACUCCUACGGGAGGCAGCAGUGGGGAAUAUUGGACAAUGGGCGCAAGCCUGAUCCAGCCAUGCCGCGUGAGUGAUGAAGGCCCUAGGGUUGUAAAGCUCUUUUGUGCGGGAAGAUAAUGACGGUACCGCAAGAAUAAGCCCCGGCUAACUUCGUGCCAGCAGCCGCGGUAAUACGAAGGGGGCUAGCGUUGCUCGGAAUCACUGGGCGUAAAGGGUGCGUAGGCGGGUCUUUAAGUCAGGGGUGAAAUCCUGGAGCUCAACUCCAGAACUGCCUUUGAUACUGAGGAUCUUGAGUUCGGGAGAGGUGAGUGGAACUGCGAGUGUAGAGGUGA
rnacentral:rRNA from 1 species